rnacentral:rRNA from 1 species
UACGAAGGGGGCUAGCGUUGUUCGGAAUUACUGGGCGUAAAGCGCACGUAGGCGGCAUUCCAAGUUGGAGGUGAAAUCCCCGGGCUUAACCUGGGAAUGGCAAUGGAUACUGGCUAGCUAGAGUGUGUCAGAGGAUGGUGGAAUUCCCGGUGUAGCGGUGAAAUGCGUAGAGAUCGGAAGGAACAUCAGUGGCGAAGGCGGCCAUCUGGGACAACACUGACGCUGAAGCACGAAAGCGUGGGGAGCAAACAGG